GGGCCAACACGGGGAUUCCGGGUAAUGGGGCUCGGCCCCAACGGAGGGGGCUCAGGGUGGGGCGGGAAGUGCGGCCGCUCCACGAGAGUUUGGUGGACGGCAGGAGCGUGCGGCGAGCGCCUGGGUGGGGUCGGGCCGAGGCGGGGAGGCGGAUCCGUGCCGGGCACUAGGCGCGGUGCGCAGCUGGGCCGUCUUCCCCGGAACAAGCGGCGGCUGCGCACCCCCCCCUCCACAGCCCCGCCAACUCCAGCUGGAGGCCUGCAGUCCUGCGUACGACAUGGGCCUCCGCGGGUCACCCGUGAGAAAACCGCAGUCCUGUCUCUUCCCUUUUCUCCUCUUUUCUCGGGACACCUGCUGCCCCUCCCCACCAGGCAGGCUCUGCGCCGCGAGGGAGUGUCCCAUCCUUGGGCAGGAGGUUGCUCAGCGGAAGGUUCUGGGGCCGGGCUAACGGGAGGGACUGAUGCUGAGAGCUGGGACUUGGGGCGCAGGGCCUCCCUCUUUAUCCUCCGGGACCCCCUCCAGUGGAGGCUGCCCUCCCCUCCCAGCUGCAGAGCCCACCCACCACCACCAACCCCACAGCAUUCUUGCAGGCUCUGUCCUCGGUCCUGGCUGCAGGGACCGGGCCCCCACCCUGUACCUGGCCCUGCUCCCAGAUCUCAUCUGAAUCAGAAGUGCCGGCAGCAGCUCCUGUCUACGCCCAAGAUUCCAGCCAAGCCAGGGAGCCCGGCGAAGGCAGCAGAGGAAGCUGGAGAGCUGAACCAGAGAAGGGGCCAUGCGUGCUGCUGUCCGUGAGGACGGGUUUUCCUGACUCUUCGGGAACCAAGGAUGAGCAGGCUCACCCCACCAACACCAAUGUGGUCCUGGUCCCAGUGCCUUCCACUCAACCCCUCUGGCUUCUACUUCUGCACAAAACUGGCUCAAGUUAGGCUUCUAAUUCUUGUUCCCUGGAAAGUUGCACACUCCGGAAAGCAGGUGCAAGCAGCUCGAGGAACCCUGGACAUAAGGACCGUGGGGGACACAGCAUGGUGUCCCAGCCACCCUGCUCAGCACAGGCUGUGGAAACAGCAAGGGCAGCAGAGCAGAGACAUUGCUGGGUACACGUGUCCAGGCUGACAGCUACUUUCUGUCACACGUGCACCGCUCCUUCUGUUUUCACCGUCGAGAAGGCUGCUGUCCGUCGGUCUUCCUCUGUAGAUGACUGGAUGGGGAAGCUGUGGUAUAUAUACACAUGGAAUCCUACUCAGCCAUAAAAAAGAGUAAAGUAAUGCCAUUUGCAGCAACAUGCAUGGACCUGGAGAUCGUCAUUCUAGGUGAAGUGAGCCAGAGAGAGAAAAGUGCCACAUGACAUCACUAUAUCUGGAAUCUGAAAAAAGGGACACAAAUGAACUAAUUAUUUGUAACUUAAAUGACUGAUUUCUUGAACAUGUGAAGCACAUCUGACUGUGCUUUAUAAUUGGAUCACCGCAUUCUGUUGAUCCUUAUUUUGUGGUUGGCUUUAUUCCUUUGAUGACUAAGUAAGUUUAAAAAGCUAAAGAUCUAAACUGUUCUUAGAAACAAUGAACAGCACAUGUAUGUAAACGGAAACAAAUAUGUGCAGUGUGUUGUACACGUGUAUUUACAUAUAAUACAUUAUAUAUGUGCAAAGUGUAACAAUUCUACCUAAUAAAACUGAAAAAUGAAAAAAAAAGCA